ACAUGCAGUCGAGCGGACCGAAGGGAGCUUGCUCCUUUAGGUUAGCGGCGGACGGGUGAGUAACACGUGGGCAACCUGCCCUGCAGACUGGGAUAACUUCGGGAAACCGGAGCUAAUACCGGAUAACACCGAAAACCGCAUGGUUUUCGGUUGAAAGGCGGCUUUUAGCUGUCACUGCAGGAUGGGCCCGCGGCGCAUUAGCUAGUUGGUGAGGUAACGGCUCACCAAGGCGACGAUGCGUAGCCGACCUGAGAGGGUGACCGGCCACACUGGGACUGAGACGCGGCCCAGACUCCUACGGGAGGCAGCAGUAGGGAAUCUUCCGCAAUGGACGAAAGUCUGACGGAGCAACGCCGCGUGAGCGAAGAAGGUCUUCGGAUCGUAAAGCUCUGUUGUCAGGGAAGAACAAGUACCGUUCGAACAGGGCGGUACCUUGACGGUACCUGACGAGGAAGCCACGGCUAACUACGUGC
rnacentral:rRNA from 1 species